UGAACGCUUCUCUAUGGUGACCCAUUCCUUAUCCUGCACCGCACUUCGCCUUGAGCCUCACGCGUCGUAGACUACAAUUGUCCGCGUGCCUUUGCGACAGAGUGGUAUUGCCGUUGUAUCCCACGUGAAUGGAGUGCGUGUAGUUGCGUCUGUUUGACUCUUGCUGUGUCGGAGCGGGUGUAGCUUUUUGGUGCUGCUCGACAUGGAGGGUAUGAGGGGGAAGACUGUAGAUAGGGUUUCACGCCGUGCAUGGAGUGGAGUUUUUCUAAGUAGGAGAAGAGUCUCACAUAUUGAAGGAGGCGUGCCUUCGUGUUGGAUGAAAGAUGAAGGCGGGCAUGGUUUUCAGCGAGAUGUCCAUAUUUUACGGCAUGGAUGAUGCGAAGCAGGUGUGUCCAAGAUGGUGUGGAAGGGAGAUACUGGUUCACCUCAGAGACUUCUAUGAGGUUGAGAAUGGAUACGUGUGCCGAUUCGUUCGUGAUUGAACGCUUUCACUGCAGCCUUGCUGUUGGUUUGUGCGAAAUCAUAUGCAUCGGCGCUCAACACGCGAAAGGGUGAACUGAAGAUUCACUGGUUACACGUACAAGUCUCAGCAGUAUCAGUAUGAUACUUGGUAAUGAGCAGUAAUGGUCAUGUACCACCUCCGACAGCUUUUUUUUUCUGUCGAGGGUGUUGAUUCUCAAGUUUUGACGGAUGCAGUCUAGCCAUGGUUGAACUGGAAGUUACCAUGCUGACUGUGUCGCAUGACCCUGUCCUCAUGGGUGCGCUUACGGGGCGGGUCUACCCUUAAUAAAAAAAAGUUUCGUGGUGCGGGGUGGGCAGUUCCUCCCGCUGGUGUUGUUGGUUGAUUGCAGUGUUUGUUUGCAAACUUAACUGGCAUGUACUGAUACGGGUAUCUUGAGAUGUUUCUCUGUGAAACGUGCUGUCGAGGGUGCGCGUGCAACCAGCGCAGCACAACGGGAUUAGCAGAUUGACGCAUGGGAUGCUACACAUGGGGUACAUUUGGAGAGUGCAUAUUAUAAAUCAGUCCACAAUUGAAGAUAAUCAGCGCGUUAUAACCGGAACACAGUUCAACUCAAUACAUGAUACCAAUAUUUAUUUGGUAGCCAUAAAACCUCAAAGGUAAUAGAGGAUGUCGAUGGCCAACACAGGGCUCAUCCACCCGUCGAUCACUGGGUGACCUUGGCGUGAUGCAAGUCACGGCUCAACUGCAUGACCCAAAUUAACGAGUGAAUCACCGACUGUUUUUUCGCUGCAUUCGCACAUCUGAGUAACCCUGCUGAUACAUGCAGUGCACGAUGAUGUCGCCUGCUACGAUCGUGCAGUCAAUCAAGCGCAUAUUGAUCAAGGAAGGAUAUCCUCACCAUGCAAGGUAGUAGUGCUUUCUCCCCACUCCGUUCGCCAAGCCUUUUCUCUUUCUUAUCUAUCCAAUCUUAUUCCAUCAAAGUUCUUAGCGUUUUUAGUUACGUUCGUUCCCAUAGUCUCCUUCCCUCGGAUGGCCAUUUACAUGCUUCAAGAGAGCAUACCGCCAUCACAGAAUUCCUUGUACCUACCUUGCGUCGUCUAUCUACAGUUCACUACUUGGCACUUCGCAUUCAAUUUCAUGUACCUUGCUACUCUAUUGUGUACCCACUUGUCCGCAACAUAGUCUAUACCAGUUUUUACCUUUUUCGUUUCACCUUCAUCUUAUAACCAGCGCAUUGUGAAUUACCCCAUCCUAGUUUGCGAAGGUAUCUCAUCCGAUUUUUCAGAUUUACACUACAAUCUGUGUGAACUGCUGAACAUAUAUUCUAGACUUGCCCGUAUUUGUUACCUCAACUAGUUUCAGUCUUGCAAGGUGGACUCCUAAGUAGAACCACUGAACUCUGAAUUCAAUGUAUAGGCUCAUGUGCAUCGCAGCCCGACCAUCAUUUGUACUACAUGCUGUAUUUCAGAUUGUUGUAGUCCUUAAAUUUCAUUUCAGUUCCUAUUUAGAUUAGUGUGUGUAGACUAUCGUAGCAUGGAAUAGUAGUUAGGAUAUGCAGGCUGCUGCAGCUUUGUAGUCGACAUGCGGAUUUGAAGCCAGCAGGAAGCGUUGUUACGUGGGACUGUCGGGAGCAGGGACGAUGGUGGUUUAACGAUACAGGUUUCUCCGGUGCAGUGGGUGUGGACAAUCAUUCAGCAUUACAUGACGAGGCGAUUGAUUACAACUUCCAACGGGAAGACAGCAAUGGCGGUUGGUGAAACUCAGAUACCGCAAGAUAGGUUUUGCAAGCAAGGGACCUAAGCUGCAUUAGCUAGUUGCACCAUCCGGAAUCUGAGAUGCUGUACCUGGAUUCAAGUAAAUUAAUCCUCGUCUGAUAGCCCAAUUGUACAUGAUUAUGACUCGACAUUCAGGAUGUGGAGGUAGAGUCUAGUGUAAUUGUUUGUAUCUUUGCAUGUUUUUCACCGAAUUCUGCAGUUAACAGGUUGUUAAAUAUUGGGUAUUCGUUCUGCAUGUUGAUGGUAUGAGGCUGAGCAUAUUGAUUUGCUUGACAUUUUUUCCGAGUGGCUUCGAUGUUCAACAGGAUGAUGUACUGUGUCACCUUGAGGUCUACAAAUUCUGUGACCAUGAAUUAAUUAUGUUGUACUGAACAUUGAGAUUACCGUGAGCUGUGGUUGUCGUUUCACAAGUGCCUGAGGUAUUUGUACAUUCCUUUUGCGUAUACCCUGCCUGCUGACGGAAGGUUAAUGGCACACCUCGACUUCAUGUUAAAGGUGCGUCAGGCUCUGCAGCUACACAUUACUAGAUUCUUCGUCCACUGUUGGCUAAUUUAAAACUUGUUUAUGUUCAGUAUGGUGGCAAACAGUGUGCCUUCUACAUCCUUGUUGACAGGCAACACCAAUCACCUUAUGUGUGUUGUGGUUGGAAGGGUUCAACUCCCUUGGAUUGGCUGGGUGAUGUAGCAAGAGUCUCUCACAUUCGUAUUUUAACUCUGUAGAGAACUGGUUCAUAAUCAGCGAUGGUAUCCUUCGCACUGGAACUUUUGAUGAUAAUUUUUUGUACCACGACAUCGUCUUCGGCAGCGUUGACAAUCAUGCUACUUUCUAUUGCAUAUCACAUGUAGUAUCCAUCACUUGGGUUCUCACGCUUGGCCACGCAUCCGGGUGAUGAGCUUGCACGAUGGUCAAUCAGUGCAGUCACCCUUGUUGACCUACCUCGCCUGAUGCACGCCGAAGCAGCACCUCCAAGUUGUAGUAACGUCCAAUUAUCACGGCACCAUGGACAAGACAUCUGACACGAUUUGUUGCCCCAAAUAGUUCAACUUGGCGUCAGAAAAUACUUUCUUCGUAAGCGUUCCUUGCCAUCACAUUCUAAACUGUUUUGAUAAACUCCAAUUGCUCCCUAGCAGGGGCAGCUGGUGCGCAGCUAUUCUGCGCUAUCAGAUCCCGUCAGCUUCUUCUUGUCAGUACGAUUCUACCUUCGUGCAUACCUGUAUUUAGAUAGUGUUCAGAACAACUCUAACUCAUACGAGUUCUUUCUAUGGGUGUAGUCUCAUCAAUGGAUAAUAAUUGUGUUAGUUAAUCGCAGCUUGUGCAUUAUUAGACCCUUGUCCUGCAACAAUAGUCAAGUUUAACAUCUCAGGUAUGUUAUAUUCCCUCAACCUGGCUCAGUGGCUCUCUUUUGGUGUUACCUUACUUCAACAUCAAUGUUGUGCAAAGGUUCUAAUCUAGUUGGUAUUUACCAGAGGUCAAAGAUAUGCUAAUUAGUGUCGCUGGACAAUGAGAUCAACAACAUGGUUUGGUUGAUAUAUCAAUAAGGAGCAUAUUCUGAAGACGAGUUUCUAUUCUAGAAUUUUGCUUCAUUCGAGUUGAAAUUAUUCCAAUCAAGCUGAGUGAAGAAUGUUAUCCAUUGUUUCGCAUUUGUAGAUUGAAUUAGCUGGAUUAACAUGAGUAUACAUCAUAUUCUUGUGGUCUAAUAAAGUGCAAGUACCUUUCGUAUGUUCAA